AAAAAUUAUGAAUAUCGCCGAUGUUUAAUUUUAUUUUUAAUAUACGAUCAUGGGUUGUUUUUAAAUAACUUUUGUUAACUCUUACUUUUUUAUAUUAUUACCUUUCACAUUCUUUGGUCAAUUUUUUUAUCUCCUAUUUAAAAACCUCAUAUUUUCAAGUUUGCAUUAGAGCUCCAAAUUGGUUGGGCCGAUUUUCUGUUGGUACGU
rnacentral:lncRNA from 1 species